ACCUACGGGGGGCAGCAGUGAGGAAUAUUGGUCAAUGGGCGGAAGCCUGAACCAGCCAAGUCGCGUGAGGGAAUAAGGCCCUACGGGUCGUAAACCUCUUUUGCCGGGGAGCAAGGGCCGGGACGCGUCCCGGCCCGGAGAGUACCCGGAGAAAAAGCAUCGGCUAACUCCGUGCCAGCAGCCGCGGUAAUACGGAGGAUGCGAGCGUUAUCCGGAUUUAUUGGGCGUAAAGGGAACGCAGGCGGUCUUUUAAGUCUGAUGUGAAAGCCUUCGGCUUAACCGG
rnacentral:rRNA from 1 species